rnacentral:rRNA from 1 species
CUUGAAACCUAUAAGAGGUCCAGCCUGCCCAGUGACUUUGUUCAACGGCCGCGGUAUCCUAACCGUGCGAAGGUAGCGUAAUCACUUGUUCUUUAAAUGAGGACUAGUAUGAAUGGCACCACGAAGGUUAUACUGUCUCCUUUUUCUAAUCAGUGAAACUAAUCUUCCCGUGAAGAAGCGGGAAUAAAAAUAUAAGACGAGAAGACCCUAUGGAGCUUUAAACAAAUAUACAAUUGCCUCCUCUAAUAAAAAUUUCAGAAAAGACACUUCUAUUUAGGCACUUUGAUAUAAAGUUUUAGGUUGGGGUGACCACGGAGUAAAAAACAACCUCCGCAGUGAAAGGGGCUUUCCCCCUAAGCCGAGGGCUACAACCCUAAGAAUCAAUAAAUUGACACUAAUUGACCCAAUUAAUUGAUCAAUGAAC